rnacentral:rRNA from 1 species
UGACGCUCAGGUGCGAAAGCGUGGGGGAGCAAACAGGAUUAGAUACCGUGGUAGUCCACGCCGUAAACGAUGUCGACUUGGAGGUUGUGCCCUUGAGGCGUGGCUUCCGGAGCUAACGCGUUAAGUCGACCGCCUGGGGAGUACGGCCGCAAGGUUAAAACUCAAAUGAAUUGACGGGGGCCCGCACAAGCGGUGGAGCAUGUGGUUUAAUUCGAUGCAACGCGAAGAACCUUACCUACUCUUGACAUCCAGAGAACUUUCCAGAGAUGGAUUGGUGCCUUCGGGAACUCUGAGACAGGUGCUGCAUGGCUGUCGUCAGCUCGUGUUGUGAAAUGUUGGGUUAAGUCCCGCAACGAGCGCAACCCUUAUCCUUUGUUGCCAGCGGUCCGGCCGGGAACUCAAAGGAGACUGCCAGUGAUAAACUGGAGGAAGGUGGGGAUGACGUCAAGUCAUCAUGGCCCUUACGAGUAGGGCUACACACGUGCUACAAUGGCGCAUACAAAGAGAAGCGACCUCGCGAGAGCAAGCGGACCUCAUAAAGUGCGUCGUAGUCCGGAUUGGAGUCUGCAACUCGACUCCAUGAAGUCGGAAUCGCUAGUAAUCGUAGAUCAGAAUGCUACGGUGAAUACGUUCCCGGGCCUUGUACACACCGCCCGUCACACCAUGGGAGUGGGUUGCAAAAGAAGUAGGUAG